AAUGAACGUUGGCGGCGUGGAUUAGGCAUGCAAGUCGAGCGAGAACUGUAGCAAUAAAGGGAAAGCGGCGAAAGGGUGAGUAAUACGUAGGUACCUGCCCUCGGGCCUGGGAUAGCUGCGGGACACAGCAAUUACUACCAGAUGACGUCUGUGGACCAAAGGUGGGAUUCCGCCCGAGGACGCGCCUGCGUCCUAUUAGCUUGUUGGUGAGGUGAUGGCUCACCAAGGCGAAGAUGGGUACGGGGUGUGAGAGCAUGCCCCCGCUCACUGGGACUGAGACACUGCCCAGACACAUACGGGUGGCUGCAGUCGAGGAUCUUCCGCAAUGGGCGCAAGCCUGACGGAGCGACGCCGCGUGCGGGAUGAAGGCCUUCGGGUUGUAAACCGCUGUCAGUGGAGAGCAAAUGUAUCGGGGUUCUCCCCGGUAUUUGAGCGAUCCGCAGAGGAAGCACAGGCUAAUUCCGUGCCAGCCGCCGCGGUAACAC
rnacentral:rRNA from 1 species